GAUUAACGCUAGCGGCAGGCAUAAUACAUGCAAGUUGAACGAGAUAAGUUUUAGCAAUAGAACUUUGAAAGUGGCGCACGGGUGCGUAACACGUAUGCAACCUACCUUUUACUGGGGAAUAGCCUCUCGAAAGAGAGAUUAAUACCCCAUAAUAUAUUGAUAAGGCAUCUUAUUAAUAUUAAAGUUACGGCGGUAAAAGGUGGGCAUGCGGCUGAUUAGGUAGUUGGUGAGGUAAUGGCUCACCAAGCCGACGAUCAGUAGGGGGUCUGAGAGGAUGUCCCCCCACACUGGUACUGAGACACGGACCAGACUCCUACGGGAGGCAGCAGUAGGGAAUAUUGGACAAUGGGCGCAAGCCUGAUCCAGCCAUGCCGCGUGCAGGAUGAAGGCCCUAUGGGUCGUAAACUGCUUUUGUACGGGAAGAAACCUCACUACGUGUAGUGAGUCGACGGUACCGUGAGAAUAAGGAUCGGCUAACUUCGUGCCAGCCGCCGCGGUAA
rnacentral:rRNA from 1 species